GACGAACGCUGGCGGCGUGCCUAAUACAUGCAAGUCGAGCGAACAGACGAGGAGCUUGCUUCUCUGACGUUAGCGGCGGACGGGUGAGUAACACGUGGAUAACCUACCUAUAAGACUGGGAUAACUUCGGGAAACCGGAGCUAAUACCGGAUGAUAUUUUGAACCGCAUGGUUCAAUAGUGAAAGACGGUUUUGCUGUCACUUAUAGAUGGAUCCGCGCUGCAUUAGCUAGUUGGUAAGGUAACGGCUUACCAAGGCAACGAUGCAUAGCCGACCUGAGAGGGUGAUCGGACCAACUGGAACUGAGACACGGUCCAGACUCCUACGGGAGGCAGCAGUAGGGAAUCUUCCGCAAUGGGCGAAAGCCUGACGGAGCAACGCCGCGUGAGUGAUGAAGGUCCUCGGAUCGUAAAACUCUGGUAUUAGGGAAGAACAUAUGUGUAAGUAACUGUGCACAUCUUGACGGUACCUAAGCAGAAAGCCACGGCUAACUACGUG
rnacentral:rRNA from 1 species